UGUUAAAAAUUUUAAUCCAUUUAUAUUAUUAAAAAUUGGCGUAGCUGAUAGAAUAAUUAGACUAUGACACAUGACAUGUUAUAUGUACCUUAUGCUGACGUAUAGAGACCAUUUUUUAAAAGUAAAAAUAGAUAAUUUUUUUAACA
rfam:Gossypium raimondii Chr11_contig_70, whole genome shotgun sequence.